rnacentral:siRNA from 1 species
GGGGUACGACUCGUUUCAUGUGUA